rnacentral:rRNA from 1 species
UGGCGGACGGGUGAGUAACGCGUGGGCAACCUGCCCUGUACCGGGGGAUAACACUUAGAAAUAGGUGCUAAUACCGCAUAAGCGCACAGCUUCGCAUGAAGCGGUGUGAAAAACUCUGGUGGUAUACGAUGGUUCCGCGUCUGAUUAGCUAGUUGGUGGGGUAAUGGCCUACCAAGGCAACGAUCAGUAGCCGGCCUGAGAGGGUGAACGGCCACAUUGGGACUGAGACACGGCCCAAACUCCUACGGGAGGCAGCAG